rnacentral:rRNA from 1 species
CGAACGCUGGCGGCGCGCCUAACACAUGCAAGUCGACCGAGCGAGAGAGAGCUUGCUUUCUCGAGCGAGUGGCGAACGGGUGAGUAACGCGUGAGGAACCUGCCUCAAAGAGGGGGACAACAGUUGGAAACGACUGCUAAUACCGCAUAAGCCCACGGCUCGGCAUCGAGCAGGGGGAAAAGGAGCAAUCCGCUUUGAGAUGGCCUCGCGUCCGAUUAGCUAGUUGGUGGGGUAACGGCCCACCAAGGCGACGAUCGGUAGCCGGACUGAGAGGUUGAACGGCCACAUUGGGACUGAGACACGGCCCAGACUCCUACGGGAGGCAGCAGUGGGGAAUAUUGCACAAUGGGGGAAACCCUGAUGCAGCGACGCCGCGUGGAGGAAGAAGGUCUUCGGAUUGUAAACUCCUGUUGUUGGGGAAGAUAAUGACGGUACCCAACAAGGAAGUGACGGCUAACUACGUG